CUGUGACCUGGGAUGACCGACGACGGGGACUUGCCCUCCUCCCCCACAGGUGCACUUGCUCUUUUCUGGGCCAGCCUUGUGAUCUGGUGUCCGGGCACUUGGCAGCAUUUAGCAAAUGUUCCUCAGUGCUCUGUUUGGUAGUUAAUGCUGUUGACACGGACACCUUUGGGAGCACGUGGGAGAAGCUGCUGCCUCCGUUUCCCCCGGGUUACAGCGCCUGGCGCAGCCUGUUGUCCCCUCAGAAGUGGUGGGCGACAUUAUCUCCUUUUUCAUCCCUAGCCCUCUCCCUUGAAGCUGUCCUGAUCUCUCUUUUGGACCCAGGAACGUGAGCAGAGGUUAUUACUCACUAUAUAUACACACUGCAUCUAGACUCAUGCAUGCCUUCUUGGUGUCAAGGACACCUCACAUUUCAAAGACUUCAUGAAAAAGAACGUGAGGUAUCUCACACGGUGACAUGAUAAAGCUUUGGACAACGUGGGUUAAGCUAAAAACAGGCACCAGGGGCGUGAUGAGAGCUUAGCUGAAAGGAGAGAAGACUCAGCAAGCACAUCACCUUGAAGCUGACCUGUCAGCCAGAUUUCGCAGCACCUGCCUGUUCCAGCCUGAGGGGCUGCGAUUCAUUCCUUGGGAAAGAGAGCUGCAAAUUCCCGCUCUAGGCCACAGUCCAAAUCCUUGCUCUUCUCUCUCAGGUUCUGGAAGACAGAAUGGAGGCAUCUACAGAGCAAGGACAUGUUUUCUACCUGAAUUAGCUUUUCUGACACCUUCAAACCAUCUCUAAGAAAUUGAUUUUUUAACAUACACAUAUACAGGUAAACAUUUAAAUCUGUGCCAUAAUGUAUUUGCACUUCGAGUCCCCCUGAAGUCCUAAGUCACAUGCUUCUCUUCCUAGGGGUUCUGUCUGAAGCAGAGACCCCUGGAUUGGAGCAGUGGGAAGAAUCCUGAUGAAUCAGGUGUUCCUGCCUGUUUACAUUAACUGGGCACCCUGCCUGCCCACCCCACAUGCUGAAUACUGCUGGGGAGAAGAGAAGAAACAUUUAUUAAAGGCAAGGAAAAAUUAGAGCCUUUUCAUUGAGGUCAGAAGAUUUUUGAGGUUGGAUCGGCUGGCCAGGUGCAUGACCAAUUUUCUUGGCUCCUUAGAAGCAGCAAAGUAUUUGAAAAAUAAUGGAGCCCUUCGUCCUACAAGUAAAAGCCCAUUUAUAUUGGGAAUUUUUUAAAAAGUGCUGGCGAUGGAAAAUUUCCGAUGAGAUGCAUUUCUUCCUGCCUGAAUGUCUUGAAUGCCUGCUGGAUUUGUCUCCCUGCUAAGACACUCACACUUGCAAAUCUGUGCUUUUCAAGGUGGGGAGAUGAAAAUAAAAAGUCUGUGAGAUGUAUUUCUGGGAGGCCUGAAAACAGGAAGCAAAUUGGAACCACAGCAUGUGGGGCACGGAUGCUGGAUUCUGGGGGAUAUUUGCUUAUUUGGAAAGGCUGCAAACAUUCCAUCCUACCCACUGCUAGGAGCUCUGCACUUUGCUAACGUCCCAUGGAAACCAAGGUUCUCUUUAGGACUCGACAGGACUGGGUUAUUUUUCUCAGCUUAAAUUGUUUUUAUAUGGUUAUCCUCAGUACUCUUUUCUGUUUUGGGAUAUUUUCAUACUUUUUAUUUUUUAAAAACCCCAGAAUAUCUUGAUUUUGAAAAGGUACAUUCACCCAAAUAAAGUGCCCAGCGCAUAGACAAGGCUGCCUCAAUAUUUCACGUGUCAACAGCCAAUGCCCCCAGUACGUGCAGAAAAGCCUGAGAACAAGGAAGGAAGAAAAGGGUCUGGUCCUUGCUCUGCGGGUAUUUAAGCAUUUCUCAGCCCCCUCCUCUGACUUCUCAACUAUGUUCACCUAUAUGGCCUCGAAUGGAGAGAACUGGGGUUAUAAAAGAG
rnacentral:lncRNA from 10 species